rnacentral:rRNA from 1 species
CAAUAGCGUAUAUUAAAGUUGUUGCAGUUAAAAAGCUCGUAGUUGGAUUUCGGGUAGGAUUUGCCGGUCCGUCUUUGAGAUGUGUACUGGUAAGUCCUAUCUUCUUGUCGGGGACCAGCUCCUGGGCUUCACUGUCCGGGACUGGGAGCCGACGAAGUUACUUUGAGUAAAUUAGAGUGUUCAAAGCAAGCCUACGCUCUGAAUAUAUUAGCAUGGAAUAACACGAUAGGACUCUGGCUUAUCUUGUUGGUCUGUGAGACCAGAGUAAUGAUUAAGAGGGACAGUCGGGGACAUUCGUAUUUCAUUGUCAGAGGUGAAAUUCUUGGAUUUACGGAAGACGAACAUCUGCGAAAGCAUUUGCCAAGGAUGUUUUCAUUGA